CAGCAGGACACACCUGGCAAUGGAUGCGACAUUCAGCACUGCCCAGGCUUCUUCCACUUGGAGGAGGCAAACUGGUGAGUGGAAUGAGGCAAGCCUCUGGCAGUGGGAUGCUAGGGAGCAAUAAUAAGGCAAGUUUGCUUGCUUGAAGGCUGCUGGUAUCUGUGAUUCGAAGCUGGAGGACAUCUCAUGAUGGACCUCACAGCAGCUUCUGGCACAAUGGGACAUCGUGACCAGGGCCGUCUUCAGCAGAUUCAGCGCCAGGGUGCAAAUAUCUGCCCAGUGCUUUCAAAUUACCAUGGAUAGUGUUGGGGUGGCCGUGGCUGCGCACUGCCAGCCCCUGGGGGGGGUGCAACUCUGCCCCAUGUCGCUGUGGGAGAGCAAUCCCCGCAGAGGCUUGGGAGUGAAGUUGCGCCCCUCCCCAGCCUCCUCAGAAGGAGAGCGAUCCUCGCAGAGGCUUGGGUGUGAAGUGCCCCUCCCAAGCCUCCUUGGGAGGAGAGCGAUCCUUGCAGAGGCUUGGAGGGAAGCUGCACGCCUGCCAGCCUUAUGGUUGGUGGGGCGCAGCUGAAAGGGGUGCAGGGAAAGGGGAGGCCGUUGGCAAAGCCGCACAUCUCCCCCACUUUCUGGGUAUGGGAAAGACGGCUCUGACUGCUGCCCUGUUGUAUUUACAUCCCUUUUUCUCCAAGGAACUGAAGGUAUAUGGUCCUCUCCCACCUCCUGUAAUUCCCACAGGUAAGAAAGGUAAAGGACCCUUGGAUGGUUAAGUCCAGUCCAAGGCCACUAUGGGGUGUGGCGCUCAUCUCGUUUCAGGCCGAGGGAGUUGGUAUUUGUCCACAGACAGCUUUCCAGGUCAUGUGGCCAGCAUGACUAAACCACUUCUGGCGCAAUGGGACACCAUAACAGAAACCAGAGAGCACAGAAAUGCCGUUUACCUUCCCGCCGCAGUGGUACCUAUUUAUCUACUUGCACUGUCGUGCUUUUGAACUGCUAGGUUGGUAGGAGCUGGGACAGAGCAAUGGGAGCUCACCCUGUCGCGGAGAUUCGAACUGUCGACCAUCUGAUCAGCAAGCCCAAGAGGUUCAGUGGUUUAGACCACAGUGGCACAGCAACCCUGGGAAAUAAGUUAGGGCUGAGAGGCAGUGACUGGCCCCCAAGGGCACCAAGUGAGCUUCAUUACCAAGUGGGGGUUUGAACCUGGUCUCCCAGAUCCAAGUCUGACACUUUGACCAUUACCCCACACUGGCUUUGCAUGUGUGUCUGUCUGUCUGUCUGCAGUGUGUCUGGUGACCAUCGGGGCUGGUAGGGCCGAAUGCAAGGAGGCCACCAGUAGGUGGCGCCAGAGCUAAUGACAGGGAGAGCUAACUCAUUCUAGUUUUGUCCCCAUCCUCCCUGCUGAAUUCCACAAGGGCAACACUGAGACUAAGGAAGAAUCAUAUAGUCCAGGGGUCAGCAACCUUUAAAAAAUAAAUAGAAAUUUCAACACAAUAAUUUUAACAAAAAUACAUCAUCCACAUUGUUUUCCCCCCUCCAUUUCCCCCCUC